CCCCUGAUUUUCUUAUUAAGUGGGAAAAAUAUGAAAUCACGGCAGCACCAAAAGUUAGGAACUUGACUGCUGGAAUGUUUUGUUCAUUCGCAACGUCUUCAGUCCAUUGCUGCAAUAUGUCAUAAAUGACCAAAUCAGGUUUCAGGUUCUGCAAGAUUUUUGUGAAGUUGGGUUUGGACAUUUUCAGGGCCUUAUGAAGGAUGUGAUUGAGAUGGAGCGGGAGGCCAUUUGUUGUAUGGUAGUGAGGAGGAAGUUCAGGCAAUUCAGGUAAGUGAAGCUCGACAAGAUGAAUCGACUCAGAGUAUUUUUCAGGGAUUUUGUUGAUGAUAGAUUUGAGAUUGACGGGCGUAGAACAAAGGUAAAUCAAGAAUCCUCUAUCCGCGAGUUUCUUGGCAACGUUUAGAAAUGGAGUAAUGUGUCCAUGAGCCAAAAAUGGGAACAUAAGUACCCUCAAAGUACUACCACACACUGUUACUUGUGUAGCCAUGAUCAAAAUAUUUCUUCCUAAAGACAAUAUAUUGGUUAUACUAUGUUCUUGUUUCUCUAGAGUGAAAGAAGAUGGACUCCAUUUAUUUGAAAUACAAGAGAAUGAGGACAAAAUAGAAGUUGUGUGACUUGUCGUUUCAAAUUUUAUGGUAGAAAAUAUCGCCAAGUUAUAGGAAAGUGACAUAUUGUGUGACUUUUCUAAGUAAUUAUAAUUUGGCAAAACUCCAGUGUUUACACUUGCACUAGUGACGGAAAGUUUGGAGUUUAUAGAAACAUAAUUACUUAGAAAACAAAAGGAGAAUAAGAAAGUUCUUUUUAAAAAAAAAUAAAAAAUCUUGGAUUGAUUGGGGGAGGAUCAGAGUACUAUGAAAGUGCUUAAUGUUUGGCAACUCUUGUUGGGUUCAAAAUCGAGAGGGCAUCGUGCGGAAGCUUAAAGUAACCAUGAGAUGAUAAAUCAGAUGACAAAGAAAAACAUAAUACUAAAAGACAUAUUAUGGAUAUGGUUUGGCCAAACGGCCUACAUAUUAAAAAUAAAAUUGAAAAACCUAAAAUCUAUUGGAAGAAAUCUCUCCCUAAACAGAGACACUUUAAAGACUACAUUGUGGAUGUUAUUGUGUUAUGGUAUGAGAAGGGAGUUUUCUAUUUAUUUAUAGAGUUCCAAAACCUUUCCACCAAGAAAGAGGUUUGCCAAAUAUGGAAUUUUUUUAGGAAAAGUAAAAGUAAUUAUGAUAUAUCUUUUAUUUUUCUUUCAAAAAAAAGUAAAACUUAAACUUGGUAAAACAAAUCUGCAAAAACCGUAACAACUCUUCCAGGCCUAAAGCCAUUUUCACGAUGUGGUUUCUAGUGUACACCAAGCUACUCACUAAAGACAGGUUCAACUCAAGUGGGGUGUAAAUGUUGGACCUCUAUGUGUCUACUUUCUAUAGGUAAGAGAAACAUGUGAACAUUUGUUUGUGCAAUGUCCAUUUGUUAGGCAAUUGUGGAAUAGGGUAUCAACUUGGAUGCAUAGAGAGAUGACAUUGGGGAGAGAUCGGGACCAUCAUUUCCGAUCCGGUGUAAAAGGGAAGACUUAGAAAGCUCAGAUAUUCAAAUUGGUAUUUGCUAAAACUCUAUACGCUAUAUGGAUGGAGAGGAAUCUUAGAAUCUUUGAAGAACAGGCUAUCGAUUACCGUAGAUUAACUAGGAAUAUUCCCUAUUCUUGUAAUAUUAGAGCACCAAAAGGUGCAAGGGAUGUAGUGCAGUCAUGGCUGUUAUAAAGUGAUGGUUCCUGGUUAUCAACUUUGUUGAGGAUUAUGGUUAGUAGCAUUUGGAUUGGGAUUUUGUAUAAGCAGUGAGACAAAGAUCACUGGACACAUACUGAAUUAGUGAUAAGACUUGUAUUUAGAUACUUUUCUGGGAGGCUCAAAUAUAUCAACACAACAUUUUGUGAUAUCAAAUUAAAAUGUGGUAGGCUCAAAUAUAUUAAAAUAACAUUUUCCCUACUCAAGAACUGAAGGGAGAUAAUGAAACACUAUAAGAAACAAAUGAUUUGGAAUUGAGAAUUCAUAUUAAAAGCUAAACAAAGUCAUAUUUGAGAAUGUCAAUUUUUUGGAUCAAUUUAUAGGUUGCAUCCUAUUUUUUUCUCAUUAUCUCAAACGUCUGAUAUAUUUUGUAGAUCAACCAAAACCAAAAAGACCUCACAGACAAUAUAAUUAUGUUAAUUGAAUUGCAACAUAUGACAUUAGUUCAACUUAGUACUGUUCUUACAAAAUCGAAUUAGCUCUUCAGUGACAACAUCUAUCUCUUCACCUUUUACAAAUUUCAAAUUCUUGCUGAUAUCUCUCGCUUUGGCCCUCAAAUUUUCCCCCAUUUUCUCUGUUAUGACAUCUUUAAGAGUUCUGGCAAUUUCUCCUCUAUGAAUUUUGCCAUCAUCAUCUCUGACAAUUUCCACCGCAACUCCCAAUUCUACUACCAACCUGGCAUUCAUUGGCUGAUCAAGAUGUAUAGGCAUCGCUAUUAUAGGAACCCCAAAAUCUAUACUUUCCAUUACUGAAUUCCAACCACAAUGACUUAUAAAUCCUCCGGUACUUGGAUGAUUUAGAAUUCUUGAUUGCGGUGCAAAUUUGUCCAAAACUCUUCCCCUGUCUCCAAUUCUUUCAAGAAAACCUUUUGGUAAAGUGUCUUCGAGAUUUUUCUCCUCCCCCUUUGGGAAUCUUGCGACCCAUAUGAAAUUAACAUUACUUAGCUCCAACCCGAAAGCUAUUUCCUCCAUGUCUUCUUUCGACAAGAAAUACUCACUCCCAAAGGAGAUAAAAACGGUUGAAUUCUCAUCUUUCGUUCCUAGCCAAUCAAUGAGCUCCACUUCAUCAACGUCACUAGUGAUCGGAUCUUGGACAGGUGGACCAACUGGAAAAACUUUCCAACUGUUCAAUUCAGAGAGAAUAUCUAUGUAUUUGGCCUCGAUAGUUCUAGUGGUAUUAAUCAGCAUGGUUUGUGCCUUUCCAUCAGCAAAAGGAUCCACAUCAUCAGGUUGUUUAUCUUUAGCGGAUUUUGCCAUCAUUUCGCUCAUUUUUACUUGUUCAAUUUUCCUGAGAUAAAUCGCUGGAAAAGGGAAUUCGACCCCUGAUUUUCUUAUUAAGUGGGAAAAAUAUGAAAUCACGGCAGCACCAAAAGUUAGGAACUUGACUGCUGGAAUGUUUUGUUCAUUCGCAACGUCUUCAGUCCAUUGCUGCAAUAUGUCAUAAAUGACCAAAUCAGGUUUCAGGUUCUGCAAGAUUUUUGUGAAGUUGGGUUUGGACAUUUUCAGGGCCUUAUGAAGGAUGUGAUUGAGAUGGAGCGGGAGGCCAUUUGUUGUAUGGUAGUGAGGAGGAAGUUCAGGCAAUUCAGGUAAGUGAAGCUCGACAAGAUGAAUCGACUCAGAGUAUUUUUCAGGGAUUUUGUUGAUGAUAGAUUUGAGAUUGACGGGCGUAGAACAAAGGUAAAUCAAGAAUCCUCUAUCCGCGAGUUUCUUGGCAACGUUUAGAAAUGGAGUAAUGUGUCCAUGAGCCAAAAAUGGGAACAUAAGUACCCUCAAAGUACUACCACACACUGUUACUUGUGUAGCCAUGAUCAAAAUAUUUCUUCC
rnacentral:lncRNA from 1 species